rnacentral:lncRNA from 1 species
GAUUGUCCUCAAACUGACACUAAUAUUCAUAUUUUUUUUUCUCUUUAUUGUUUGUGUUUUUGUCUCUUCUUCUCAGCUGCAGUGACCAGACAGUCUGUCUCCUACUUCACUGUCAGAGUUAAAGAUGAAGAAGUAAUUUUGCCUUGUAACAAUGUGAUAGAUGGUCAGAAUAACUGUAACAGCACAACAUGGAUCUUCACUGGUUCAAAAAGCAGAUCAUUAGUAGCGCUGAUUGAUCUUGGAAAGAUUGAUGAAAAUGCCAAAGCUAAAGACAGACUGAGUGUUACAGAGAACUGUUCUCUGGUUAUAAAGAAUGUCACAGUCGAAGAUGUUGGUCAAUAUGAUUGUCAACAAUACAAAUCACACAUACCUCAAGGUCCAGACGCUGUGGUUCAUCUGUCUGUUGUCUCCAUGACUGAACAUCAGAACCAUGAUAAGGUGACAUUAAACUGCUCUGUGUUCACAUAUGAAAGAUGUAGACACACAGUGAAGUGGCUGUAUGAGGGUAAAGAGGUGGAUAAAGAUAACCAAGGUGUAACUACAUCACAGUCUCCCUGCAACGCCUCUGUGCGUGCUCCGUCUUAUCAUCACAUUUACAAGUCAGAGUUUGAAUUUGUGAAGUGUUCAGUGACUGAUGGUGACAAAGAGCAGCAGCUGUUUCCCUUCAGACUUCAGUCAUCAGGAAACAAACCAGGUGAGGAGACAACAACAACAACAACAAGAACUCAGGAGCAGGAACCAUCACAACUGAUUCUGCAACCAAUGAUGCUUCAACAAAACCAAUAGAUUGGUGGUGGCUGCUCAUCAUUCUGGCUGUGGUCUUAGUGGCACUUUUAAUCAUUGUCGUGAAAGUCUUCAGGAGGAAGAGAGCUGAAGGUGAGAGCUCAUGAAUCUUUUUUUGAACAAGACAUUUUACUAAAACUGUAUUUUCUCUGUGGAAGCUAAACUCAAUUCUCCUUUUCGUCUUUUCAGAGAACAACACACGGAUGGAGGACGAUGUUGUGAGUGUAAAAUUGUUCUUUUCUAUAAAUUCUGACUCUGUAGCUGAGACAGAGCGAGAUGAGAUAAACAGACCGACUGUGUUGUGUUCAAAGUGUCUGCAGCAGCAAAGGUCAAACGAAUGAUGACAGAGAUUAAUCAACAUCUCUUUACGGAGGCCCAUAGUGGCCACAGGGAGAAAGUAUUAUUAUCGUUGUUCCCAUAAUUUUUGUGCAUGAGACAAGUGUAAAAAAAUGUGGAGAAUUGUACACAGGUUUCAUAAUCUUAGGAUACUUGCACACCUGACCUGUUUGGUUCAGUUAAAACUGCUGCAUGUGGCGCGCAGGUGGUCGAGUGGUUAGAGCGCAUGCCAUAUACGCAGCUGAUCCCGGUUCGAUUCCGGCCGGAGGUCCUUUGCUGCAUGUCACAUCCCCCUCUCUCUCUCCCAUAUUUCCUAUCUGUCUACUGCUUAAUAAAGGUGUCUAUGCUGGAAAAAAUCUUUAAAAAAAAACUGCUGCAUGUGAUUGGUUGGUGCAGUUUGUUGGUGCUGGUGUGAAAGCUGGCAGCUGAACCCUGUCACAGACUCAGAGCACUUGUGAAGGUGGAUCUCAGCCCUGGUGAGGUUAAUCUGCAAUGUGACAGGAAGUGAACCAACCACAGGAUUUUGAUGUAGAUGAAAUCACGAAUAAAUCCAUCUGCUAACAGUUAAUCAUUGCACAGUUACACAUAUGCACGUCAGCGUAUGAACUUUCCCCCAUUAUCUGGACAAAAGCUGUUCAAAUUAGAUUCAGAUUCCGUUCAUUGUCAUUCAACAUGUUAAAAACAUGAAGGAACAUUAAAAUAGACUGAAAUACAAGCAGCAUGUUAAAGGAAUAGUGCAUCAAUAGCCGCGCAGCACCGCAGUACAGAGGACAGUCAGGGAGUUCAUAAACCUCACAGCUUCCGUAAUAUAAGUGCACUUAAGCCUUGUUGUUCUGGUUUUGAGGCUGUGCAGCCCUCUGCCUGAGAGGAGGGAGUGAACAGUUGGUCUGCUGGGUGGGUGGGGGCCCUGUAUGCAUACAUGACGCUCUGCUUCUGCACCCGCUGACAUAACUGUCCUCAGAGGAAGGGAGGCUGCUGGUGGUUAUUUUUUUAUUUCUUGCAGAUUCAACCACUCGUUGCAACGCCUUACUGUCAGCAGCAGAGCAGUUCCCAUAUCAAACAGUCAUGGAGGACGUCAGUAUGCUCCCCACUAUACACGGUGAAAAUAGGUCAGAACAGAAGGGCUCAGGCCAGCCCGCUUCAACCUCCUGAAAGAAGUACAGGUGUUGGUGGACCUUGUCUAUGAGGCUGGCUGUGUUAUAUGUGUUAUACCUAUAUGAGGUCAUUGGAGGUGUGCAGGCCCAGGUAUUUAAAGGUGGAGCUGUUUAAUUUUGCUGUGGAGUUUGAUUUCCCGACGUGGGUCAUGAUGAUGUGCUGAUGAAGCAGGAUGACGAUCAACUUUCAGAUUAAUGAGUUACCUGUCAGUCUGUGUAACUUCAACUUUUCUCCUCCUGGUUCACCAAACUGCAACAAUAAUAUCCCAUACUGGAUAUCCUCCUGUUUGAUAUAUUCCCUCUGUCCGGACCAAAUUAACUGAACUACAGGCGUGAAAACACCCUCAGAUGAACUCAAACUUGGGACAUUUCAACAUAUAAUGGUCCCUUUAUUGCUCAGCAAGAGUUGGUCUCUGUGUAUCAACUUAUAACCUGUGCACAAACUUACCAAAAUGAGGGAAUGAAUUGUAUCUGGUGUGCAACCUGUAGCAUAAUCGACACUCACGUAGUUAAACAUGGCCACAACAUAUAUGCAGUUUAUUCUUAUUGGCCACUCCAGGCCUCCGUACAUUCUCAGCACACUGGAGUUGUAGACUUGAAGAUGUUUUUUGACGCUCACACUACCUGUCCCUGAAUCUUUUGCAGAUGUUGUACAUUUUGACACAUCAGUUGAAAGUGACAUAACGUGACAGCCCUGAAACGUAAGACAGAGUAUAAAUCUUCUUCUUACUGAGCAGCCAUGUUGUCUUCUGUGUGUAGGCUGAUCCUGAAGAUGGUGUCCACUACGCCUCCGUCAGCUACACCAAGAACACACACAGUAAAGCUAAUGUAAGUUUGCAUGUUGUCACAUUUAUUGAUAUACGGCUGGAAAUGUUAAUGCUCCUCUGCACUGUUAUCUUUGAAGGUGUUGUAGUAUGUUGUCGUCCUGCUGUUGUAUUUAUAUCACCUUUUUGGGUUUUUUUUCUGCCAGGUUCGAGGUAAAAGCGAUGAUGAAGACGACGGUGAUGUGACCUACACAAUGGUGAAAGCUUCCUCCACUGAUCCCAGCUGCCUCUACGCCACCGUCAGACAGUGAAACAAACCAGGCUCCUGUGAUGAGAUCUUUGUUCUCUGUUAGUGUCUUUAAAGAUCAUUCUCAUGUUCAAUCAUUGUAUAAAGCUUCUUAUAGUGCAGGUGCAGUGGGAUAACGUGUGGCAGAAUGUGAAAAGGAGAAGUGCUGACCUGACAUACUGUAUAUAUGGGUGGAUGCUAAAAUGUACAUUGGCAUAAUAUAUGAUACAAUUUACUUGAUGAACUGUUGUGCAUUGUAUUUUCUUUUUUUUCAUUAUUGUUGCUGUUUUGUUAUUCAAUAUGCAAUCAUUUGAAUAUAUAUGCUUUAAAUAUCCUUGUAUUAAAGUAUUCAAAGCAAACUGAACAUUGGAGUCUUUGAAGCUUACGUUAGCUAGCAUAGGCUACUACUGUGGACAGAAACCUCCUUUAAACCUGUGUAGACUGUGUCUCCAAACUCAUCCAGACCCAAUUCACCGUCUGCUAUUUUUUUUUUCACUGCAAGGCAUUGCUGCAGCAACUUGUUGCGUCACUCUACUCUCCAUUUUGCUUAAAUCUGCUCCCCCAUGAGAUCACGUGAGAGGGAUUGGUGUCCGCUGUUGUAAAUGUAUCAAUAUUGAACGUGUUGCAUGUCCAAAUAGCACCAAAUUCGACACUGCACUCAGCAACAAACCUGCCAAGUGUGAAGUUGAUCAAGUGGACAGUUCUGGAGAUAUUUAUACAAUAGCAGACAGAUAGACAGAGAUUCCUUGUUCAGGGUCAGGUCAGAGUCAAAAGAGUUUCUAUCAGAGUUUAUGUUUAUGUGAGUCAAUGAUUUUGUCUUUGUUUUUACUAAUGUUCUGUGUCUGCUUGUUUUUAUUCUGCACUUAUGCUGUUCUGUCUGUGUUAUGUGCUUGCUGCUUUUGUCUGUGUUCAAAUGCGUAUGUGUUUUAAGGUGCGUGUUAUUCAUUUUUAAUCAGCAGGAGCAGCGGAUCACCAACCUCAGCACUGUUCAUCAUCAGAGGAUCACAAUCGACCGCAAUAAUUUUCACAACAAUCAAUCUAAUAGUUGUUGAGAUAUUUCAGUCUGGACUGAAGAGGUGGACCGACUGUCUGACAUUUCCAUCCCCAGAGUCACGUCACUAACAUGACUGAACACAUGUGUUGUGCUCCUGAUGUUUGAUGGUUCUCUGACAUGAUGUUUCUGCUCCACAGCUCAUACAGAUUGUUCUGUUGUCGACUACAUCAUGUUGGUUCUGCGUGUGGCUGAACUCGUCCUAAUUACUGUGAUAUGUGUGUGUGUAUAUACAUAUACAUAUAUAUAUGUACAUAUAUAUGUAUUUAUAUAUAUGUACAUAUAUAAAUUAAUAUGUACAUAUAUAACAAAAUAACAGUAAGUGAUAUUUUUAUUUUAUUAUUUCGUUUUAUAUAAACAUCAAAAGUCAGCUGGGAGGAACAUUUGGAGCACUGUUGGGAUAACAUAUAUUCACACACACAAAUACAUGUACACAUCUUGUGUUGAAAGUUGAAUAUUAAAGUGUGUCAGAGUGACAGUUUGUGUGUGUUGUGUUUCACAGGUGGAUCGUGAUGAAGAUGAAGAUGAUGGUGUGGUGAAAUAUGAAAACUGUGGAGACACUUCUGCCUCUGUCAGACUCCACUGAAGAAUUCAGAGCUGAUUUGAAGAUUUCCUGUUUGUUGUUGAAGCUGCAGCAGCUUGAGCUCAGUUUCAUGUCUCUGUGUGCAGAAGAACUCAUUUUAGGGAGAGCUGUGUGUUCUGUAACACGCCUGAGUCUGUACAUCAUGUUUGUUGAAUUUUGCCAUUUGUUGGUGUUACUGUCUUUCCUCUCUGUUGUCUGAGGUUCAGGUAUUCAUAGCAUCUUUUUAAGAGUUUUAAGAGUGAACGUAUUUGUUUAAUAACAAAUGUCUUUUCUGUGCCGAGCUCUUUGUGUUUCAGUCUGAGCUGGACUAACAGACUGGAGUCAAACUGGUGGACGAGGAGUUUGACUCUUGAGCUGUCUGUUUAUGUGUGCUGUAAACAUCAUGAAUCCUGACUGUUUCACAAUAAAGUAUAUAAAGAUAAGAAGUUGUGUUUGUGCAAAUGUGUAUCUCAACUAACAAUCCUCAAAUAUGCGUCGAAUGUAA